UCUGGUGACUUUGCCGGCAAGGACACACCCGAUCCCAUACCGAACUCGGAAGUUAAGCUUGCUAGGGCCGAUGAUACUACUACGCAGUUAGUGGAAAAGUAGGACGUUGCCAGGU
rnacentral:rRNA from 1 species